AUGAGCAUUGUGACUGUUAUGCAUAUUCCUAAACUACUGAGGUGGAUGAAUAGGUUGAUCUGCAAUUUGAUGAUCCUAAUGGAGAUGAGCCUGAUUCUUCUUCAACACUGCUACAAAGAUAAGAACUCCAACGGUAAGCUCUUCACUCUUUUCCUCUUCUUUGCUUUUGAACUCCUUUAUCGUCACUUCAUUCUUUGCGCUUCUUGA